rnacentral:rRNA from 1 species
UACGUAGGGGGCGAGCGUUGUCCGGAAUUAUUGGGCGUAAAGAGCGUGUAGGCGGUUCGGUAAGUCUGCCGUGAAAACCUGAGGCUCAACCUCGGGCGUGCGGUGGAUACUGUCGGGCUAGAGUACGGAAGAGGCAAGUGGAAUUCCUGGUGUAGCGGUGGAAUGCGCAGAUAUCAGGAGGAACACCUAUAGCGAAGGCAGCUUGCUGGGACGUUACUGACGCUAAGGCGCGAAAGCGUGGGGAGCGAACAGG